AUUGAACGCUGGCGGCAUGCCUUACACAUGCAAGUCGAACGGCAGCACGGGAGCUUGCUCCUGGUGGCGAGUGGCGAACGGGUGAGUAAUAUAUCGGAACGUGCCCAGUCGUGGGGGAUAACGUAGCGAAAGCUACGCUAAUACCGCAUACGAUCUACGGAUGAAAGCGGGGGAUCGCAAGACCUCGCGCGAUUGGAGCGGCCGAUAUCAGAUUAGGUAGUUGGUGAGGUAAAGGGCUCACCAAGCCGACGAUCUGUAGCUGGUCUGAGAGGACGACCAGCCACACUGGGACUGAGACAGGCCCCAGACUCCUACGGGAGGCAGCAG
rnacentral:rRNA from 1 species